rnacentral:rRNA from 1 species
UAACAAGGAUUCCCCUAGUAACGGCGAGUGAACGGGGAGAAGCCCAGCGCUGAAUCUUUCGGUGUUACACCGUUAAGAAAUGUAGCGUAUAGGUGUGAUUUUCAGUUUGUGCUACAUGUCCAAAGUCCCUUUGAUAGGGGCCACAUUCCCGAGAGGGUGCGAGACCUGUGCGGACAGUGGAGCAAGCUGUAUGAUCAUACUUUGGAGUCGGGUUGCUUGAAAGUGCAGCCUAAAGUGGGUGAUAAACUUCAUCUAAGGCUAAAUAUAGACGCGAAUUCGAUAGCAAACAAGUACUGUGAAGGAAAGUUGCAAAGAACUUUGAAGAGAGAGUUCAAGAGAACGUGAAAUCGCUGGAGUGGAACCGGAGAGAGUUGACGUAGUCCGGUAAC